GGGGGUAAAAGUGGCUAAUUGCCAUAUCACACCUCCCCCGAAAGCUCCCAUCAUCGGGGUAGCAGAAGAAAAAUUGAAACGCAUACUAAACUUGUUUACAAUUUUUCCUGAUCUCAAUACGAAAAUUAGUAAUAAAUUAUAUAUGGUACAAUGGGGAAAAAUCUUUAUUUUUUUGGUUCUUAUAUGUCGUCGUUAGUGUCGUGGUCCAUGUAAAACAUGUGUGGUGUAUGUAUGUGUGUGUAUGUGGCUAGAUCAUGGAAAUUGAUCAUUACAUUAAAACGCCUUUUGAGAGUUGAUCACUUUUUAGGGUUCCGUAGUCAACUAGGAACCCUUAUAGUUUCGCCAUGUCCGUCUGUCUGUCUGUCUGUCUGUCUGUCUGUCUGUCCGAGGCUUUGCUCCGUGGUCGUUAGUGCUAGAAAGCUGAAAUUUGGCAUGGAUAUAUAAAUCAAUAAAGCCGACAAAGUCGUACAAUAAAAUCUAAAAAUUUAAUUUUUUUGAGGGUACCUCCCCUACACGUAAAGUGGGGGUACCCUCAAAAAAAUUAAAUUUUUAGAUUUUAUUGUACGACUUUGUCGGCUUUAUUGAUUUAUAUAUCCAUGCCGAAUUUCAGCUUUCUAGCACUAACGACGACGGAGCAAAGCCUCGGACAGACAGACAGACGGACAUGGCGAAACUAUAAGGGUUCCUAGUUGACUACGGAACCCUAAAAAAUA